rnacentral:pre_miRNA from 1 species
UAAAAUUCAACUGACCAGUGAUGGACUAGUAGGUUAGAAUUAGUGAUCCAUUCAUUCUAACCUACUAGUCCAUCACUGGUUAGUUGAACUU